ACAGUACGUAGUGACUGCCGUUGAUCAGUUCUAGUUUUAUACUACACCAACUUCUUUUUAUUAAACAAAAACCAAUACAAAAUUAAAAACUAACUUCAUCAAAAACCAAGUCUCUAAGCAAUGGAUGUCUUGGCUCCUCACACGAUGAAGAACGUGGCAUAAUGUGUUAAGUAACCGGAGUUGCAAACAUCAUGACAGGUUAAUCUUUGAAUGCAAAUUGCGCUAAACUCGAUCUCGGUCGAGAAGCAUGGGUGUGACAGUACUACAUCUUUUAUAAUAAUUCUUAUUCUAAGCGAAUAAGUAAAUAAUAUAUAAGACAAACAACACGUAGUCUGCCAUACGCAGGAAGACCCGCUGAACUGAAGCAUCUCAUUAAGCGG
rnacentral:rRNA from 1 species